rnacentral:rRNA from 1 species
ACUCCUACGGGAGGCAGCAGUGGGAAUAUUGCACAAUGGGAACGAGCAUGCAGCCAUGCCGCGUGUGUGAAGAAGGCCUUCGGGUUGUAAAGCACUUUCAGUAGGGAGGAAGGUAGUGUAGUUAACACCUGCAUUAUUUGACGUUACCUACAGAAGAAGCACCGGCUAACUCCGUGCCAGCAGCCGCGGUAAUACGGAGGGUGCGAGCGUUAAUCGGAAUUACUGGGCGUAAAGCGCAUGCAGGCGGCCUGUUAAGUCAGAUGUGAAAGCCC